rnacentral:rRNA from 1 species
AGAGUUUGAUCCUGGCUCAGAAUCAACGCUGGCGGCNNNCUAACACAUGCAAGUCGCACGAGAAAGGGGAGCAAUCCCUGAGUAAAGUGGCGCACGGGUGAGUAACACGUGACUAACCUACCUCCGAGUGGGGAAUAACUGAGAGAAAUCUUAGCUGAUACCGCAUAACACUUACGAGUCAAAGCAGCAAUGCGCUUGGAGAGGGGGUCGCGGCAGAUUAGUUAGUUGGCGGGGUAAUGGCCCACCAAGACGAUGAUCUGUAUCCGGCCUGAGAGGGCGCACGGACACACUGGAACUGAAACACGGUCCAGACUCCUACGGGAGGCAGCAGUGGGGAAUUUUGCGCAAUGGGGGAAACCCUGACGCAGCAACGCGCGUGGAGGAUGAAAUAUCUUGGUAUGUAAACUCCUUUCGAUGGGGAAGAUUAUGACGGUACCCAUAGAAGAAGCCCCGGCUAACUUCGUGCCAGCAGCCGCGGUAAUACGAGGGGGGCAAGCGUUGUUCGGAUUUAUUGGGCGUAAAGGGUGCGUAGGGGUUUGGCAAGUCUGAUGUGAAAUCUAUGGGCUCAACCCAUAGUCUGCAUCAGAAACUGCCGGGCUUGAGUAUGGGAGAGGUGAGUGGAAUUUCCGGUGUAGCGGUGAAAUGCGUAGAUAUCGGAAGGAACACCUGUGGCGAAAGGGCUCACUGGACCAUAACUGACGCUGAUGCACGAAAGCUAGGGGAGCAAACAGGAUUAGAUACCCNNGUAGUCC